rnacentral:rRNA from 1 species
CCUACGGGUGGCUGCAGUGAGGAAUCUUGCGCAAUGGGCGAAAGCCUGACGCAGCGACGCCGCGUGGAGGAUGACGGUUUUCGGAUUGUAAACUCCUGUUAAGUGGGAAGAAAGGCCUAUCUCUAAUACAGAUAGGAUAUGACGGUACCACUAGAGAAAGCACCGGCUAACUUCGUGCCAGCAGCCGCGGUAAUACGAGGGGUGCAAGCGUUAUUCGGAUUAAUUGGGCGUAAAGGGUGUGCAGACGGUUUGUUAAGUCACUUGUUAAAUUCCUC